UCCCUGCUGGUCCAGUGGUUAAGACUCUGUGCUUCCAGUGUAGGGGGCCCAGGUUCAAACCCUGGUCAGGGAA
rfam:TPA: Bos taurus chromosome 12, whole genome shotgun sequence.